rnacentral:tmRNA from 1 species
GGGGCUGUAACGGUUUCGACAGGUUGGCGAACGUUACAUUGUGAUGCAGGUCGAGAGUGAGUCUACUCUCGUUAAUCAAGGCUCAAAAACAUAGAUGCAAACAACAUCGUUUCCUUUGCUCGUAAAGCUGCCCCUGUGGCUGCUUAGUCCAAAACCUUAACUUAGGUUCGAGCACGUAUGACCCGACUCCGUUAAAGGACAUACGCACUAAUUAACGCGAUGCUAUCCAGUGAGUUUCUUUAGUUGUAACUGGGCCAAGAUUUAAUUAAAGAAUCCCCUUCACCGGGACAAUGGUGAGUUCCCGUUCUGAGGAUUAGAUGAACUAAGCCUGUGAAUGAGUGGUGUAUUAAUACCCAGUUUGGACACGGGUUCGACUCCCGUCAGCUCCACUA